rnacentral:piRNA from 1 species
GAAGAUAAGCAUUUUCUGUGAGUCG